UGGGGAAUAUUGCACAAUGGGCGCAAGCCUGAUGCAGCGACGCCGCGUGAGGGAUGACGGCCUUCGGGUUGUAAACCUCUUUCAAUAGGGACGAAGCGCAAGUGACGGUACCUAUAGAAGAAGGACCGGCCAACUACGUGCCAGCAGCCGCGGUAAUACGUAGGGUCCGAGCGUUGUCCGGAAUUACUGGGCGUAAAGAGCUCGUAGGUGGUUUGUCGCGUUGUUCGUGAAAACUCACAGCUUAACUGUGGGCGUGCGGGCGAUACGGGCAGACUAGAGUACUGCAGGGGAGACUGGAAUUCCUGGUGUAGCGGUGGAAUGCGCAGAUAUCAGGAGGAACACCGGUGGCGAAGGCGGGUCUCUGGGCAGUAACUGACGCUGAGGAGCGAAAGCGUGGGGAGCGAACAGGAUUAGAUACCCUGGUAGUCCACGCCGUAAACGGUGGGUACUAGGUGUGGGUUUCCUUCCUUGGGAUCCGUGCCGUAGCUAACGCAUUAAGUACCCCGCCUGGGGAGUACGGCCGCAAGGCUAAAACUUAAAUGAAUUGACGGGGUCAUAGCUG
rnacentral:rRNA from 1 species